UACGUAGGGGGCAAGCGUUGUCCGGAUUUAUUGGGCGUAAAGAGCGUGUAGGCGGCCAUGUAGGUCCGUUGUGAAAACUCGAGGCUCAACCUCGAGACGCCGAUGGAAACCAUGUGGCUAGAGUCCGGAAGAGGAGAGUGGAAUUCCUGGUGUAGCGGUGAAAUGCGCAGAUAUCAGGAGGAACACCGGUGGCGAAGGCGGGUCUCUGGGCCGUUACUGACGCUGAGGAGCGAAAGCGUGGGGAGCGAACAGG
rnacentral:rRNA from 1 species